rnacentral:tRNA from 1 species
GGCCUCGUCGUCUAGCCUGGUCUAGGACGCUGGAUUUUCAUUCCAGUAACACGGGUUCAAAUCCCGUCGAGGCUA